CUGGGCUCGAAGCGCAGUGGACCGGGGUGGAAACAUCCCUUUCCGCAAGGACCGCUGCGGAGGUGCUGCAUGGCUGUCGUCAGCUCGAGUCGUGAGAUGUUGGGUUAAGUCCCGCAACGAGCGCAACCCUUAUCGUCAGUUGCCACCGGGUCAAGCCGGGCACUCUGGCGAAACCGCCUCGGAUAACGGGGAGGAAGGUGGGGAUGACGUCAAGUCCUCAUGGCCUUUGUGUCCAGGGCUACACACGUGCUACAAUGGCCGGUACAAACCGUCGCAAACCCGCGAGGGGGAGCUAAUCGGAAAAAGCCGGCCUCAGUUCGGAUUGGAGUCUGCAACCCGACUCCAUGAAGCUGGAAUCGCUAGUAAUCGCGGAUCAGAACGCCGCGGUGAAUACGUUCCC
rnacentral:rRNA from 1 species